rnacentral:rRNA from 1 species
GACGAACGCUGGCGGCAUGCUUUACACAUGCAAGUCGAACGGAAAGGCCCUGCUUUUGUGGGGUGCUCGAGUGGCGAACGGGUGAGUAACACGUGAGUAACCUGCCCUUGACUUUGGGAUAACUUCAGGAAACUGGGGCUAAUACCGGAUAGGAGCUCCUGCUGCAUGGUGGGGGUUGGAAAGUUUCGGCGGUUGGGGAUGGACUCGCGGCUUAUCAGCUUGUUGGUGGGGUAGUGGCUUACCAAGGCUUUGACGGGUAGCCGGCCUGAGAGGGUGACCGGCCACAUUGGGACUGAGAUACGGCCCAGACUCCUACGGGAGGCAGCAGUGGGGAAUAUUGCACAAUGGGCGGAAGCCUGAUGCAGCAACGCCGCGUGCGGGAUGACGGCCUUCGGGUUGUAAACCGCUUUCGCCUGUGACGAAGCGUGAGUGACGGUAAUGGGUAAAGAAGCACCGGCUAACUACGUG